UGCGGUGCGAGGUCGUUGAUUUGUUGAUGCCGAAGGUGUAUUGCGAGAGGCGAAGUUCAGGUUGGUGAUCGAUGAUGAUUGGAAUUGAUGAAGAUUGAAGAUGAAUGAUGAUUGUAUGAUUAUGAAGAUUGAAGGAUGAAGGAGCGUGUGGAGGAUUUCAGAAGUGAAGAUAAUGAACGGAUUCGAUGACUUCGUUCAUUCUUGCCAAUUGUUUUCUGAAGCCCCUGUGAAGAUGAUGAUUCAGAGUUUGUUAUAGAUGAAGAAGGUUGAGAUCAAUGGAGUGAGUUUCUGAAUUCAGAAGAGAGAUGAAGAGAGAGAUUGAGUUUUCUGUUAGAAAGUUUGUUACGUUCUUGAAAUCGUGAAGAUAAUUGAUGGUGAAUCCAAAAGUUUGUUACGUGUUGAGAUUGAAGUGAAGGAGGUCCAGAGCAAGAGAGAUUGAAGGCGGUUUAGACUUGAAGCCAUUUGGCUUUUGGAUAUGUAGUUGGGAGUUAUAGAAGCAUGACCUCGGCUUAGAAAAUUCAGAACAAGUUUAUGGUUUCUUUUUUUUUUGUUGUAAUUUUGUAAUGGGCUGGACUCUUGUGAUGAAUGGAUUUUUGGACUUUGGAAUGUAUGAAAUUUUUGUAAUUUUUGUAAUGGACAUCAA